rnacentral:rRNA from 1 species
AGCGAACGCUGGCGGCAGGCCUAACACAUGCAAGUCGAACGGAUCCUUCGGGAUUAGUGGCGGACGGGUGAGUAACACGUGGGAACGUGCCUUUUGGUUCGGAACAACUCAGGGAAACUUGAGCUAAUACCGGAUGUGCCCUUCGGGGAAGGAUUUAUCGCCAUUAGAGCGGCCCGCGUCUGAUUAGCUUGUUGGUGAGGUAAAGGACGUCACCAAGGCGACGAUCAGUAGCUGGUCUGAGAGGAUGAUCAGCCACAUUGGGACUGAGACACGGCCCGAAACCUCCUACGGGAGGCAGCAGUGGGGAAGUCUUGCGCAAUGGGCGAAAGCCUGACGCAGCCAUGCCGCGUGAAUGAUGAAGGUC